GCCAGACUCCUACGGGAGGCAGCAGUGGGGAAUAUUGCACAAUGGGGGGAACCCUGAUGCAGCGACGCCGCGUGAGUGAAGAAGUAUUUCGGUAUGUAAAGCUCUAUCAGCAGGGAAGAAAAUGACGGUACCUGACUAAGAAGCCCCAGCUAACUACGUGCCAGCAGCCGCGGUAAUACGUAGGGGGCAAGCGUUAUCCGGAUUUACUGGGUGUAAAGGGAGCGUAGACGGCGAUGCAAGUCAGAAGUGAAAGCCCGCGGCUCAACUGCGGGACUGCUUUUGAAACUGUAUAGCUUGGGUGCAGGAGAGGUAAGCGGAAUUCCUAGUGUAGCGGUGAAAUGCGUAGAUAUUAGGAGGAACGCCAGUGGCGAAGGCGGCUUACUGGACAGUAACUGACGUUGAGGCUCGAAAGCGUGGGGAGCAAACAGGAUUAGAUACCCCCGUAA
rnacentral:rRNA from 1 species